rnacentral:rRNA from 1 species
GACGAACGCUGGCGGCGUGCUUAACACAUGCCAGUCGAACGGAAAGGCCCUGCUUUUGUGGGGUGCUCGAGUGGCGAACGGGUGAGUAACACGUGAGUAACCUGCCCUUGACUUUGGUAUAACUUCAGGAAACUGGGGCUAAUACCGGAUAGGAGCUCCUGCUGCAUGUUGGGGGUUGGAAAGUUUCGGCGGUUGGGGAUGGACUCGCGGCUUAUCAGCUUGUUGGUGGGGUAGUGGCUUACCAAGGCUUUGACGGGUAGCCGGCCUGAGAGGGUGACCGGCCACAUUGGGACUGAGAUACGGCCCAGACUCCUACGGGAGGCAGCAGUGGGGAAUAUUGCACAAUGGGCGGAAGCCUGAUGCAGCAACGCCGCGUGCGGGAUGACGGCCUUCGGGUUGUAAACCGCUUUCGCCUGUGACGAAGCGUGAGUGACGGUAAUGGGUAAAGAAGCACCGGCUAACUACGUG